AACGAACGCUGGCGGCGUGGAUAAGACAUGCAAGUCGAACGGGAGAAUUGCUAGCUUGCUAAUAAUUCUCUAGUGGCGCACGGGUGAGUAACACGUGAGUAACCUGCCUCUUAGUGGGGGAUAGCCCUGGGAAACCGGGAUUAAUACCGCAUACGAUUGAAAGAUCAAAGCAGCAAUGCGCUAGGAGAUGGGCUCGCGGCCUAUUAGUUAGUUGGUGAGGUAACGGCUCACCAAGGCGAUGACGGGUAGCCGGUCUGAGAGGAUGUCCGGCCACACUGGAACUGAGACACGGUCCAGACACCUACGGGUGGCAGCAGUCGAGAAUCAUUCACAAUGGGGGCAACCCUGAUGGUGCGACGCCGCGUGGGGGAAUGAAGGUCUUCGGAUUGUAAACCCCUGUCAUGUGGGAGCAAAUUAAAAAGAUAGUACCACAAGAGGAAGAGACGGCUAACUCUGUGCCAGCAGCCGCGGUAAUACAGAGGUCUCAAGCGUUGUUCGGAAUCACUGGGCGUAAAGCGUGCGUAGGCUGUUUCGUAAGUCGUGUGUGAAAGGCAGGGGCUCAACCCCUGGAUUGCACAUGAUACUGCGAGACUAGAGUAAUGGAGGGGGAACCGGAAUUCUCGGUGUAGCAGUGAAAUGCGUAGAUAUCGAGAGGAACACUCGUGGCGAAGGCGGGUUCCUGGACAUUAACUGACGCUGAGGCACGAAGGCCAGGGAGCGAAAGGGAUUAGAUACCCCUGUAGUCCUGGCAGUAAACGGUGCACGCUUGGUGUGCGGGGAAUCGACCCCCUGCGUGCCGGAGCUAACGCGUUAAGCGUGCCGCCUGGGGAGUACGGUCGCAAGAUUAAAACUCAAAGAAAUUGACGGGGACCCGCACAAGCGGUGGAGUAUGUGGCUUAAUUCGAUGCAACGCGAAGAACCUUACCUGGGCUUGACAUGUAAUGAACAACAUGUGAAAGCAUGCGACUCUUCGGAGGCGUUACACAGGUGCUGCAUGGCCGUCGUCAGCUCGUGUCGUGAGAUGUUUGGUUAAGUCCAGCAACGAGCGCAACCCCUGUUGCCAGUUACCAGCACGUCAAGGUGGGGACUCUGGCGAGACUGCCCAGAUCAACUGGGAGGAAGGUGGGGACGACGUCAGGUCAGUAUGGCCCUUAUGCCCAGGGCUGCACACGUACUACAAUGCCCAGUACAGAGGGGGCCGAAGCCGCGAGGCGGAGGAAAUCCUGAAAACUGGGCCCAGUUCGGACUGUAGGCUGCAACCCGCCUACACGAAGCCGGAAUCGCUAGUAAUGGCGCAUCAGCUACGGCGCCGUGAAUACGUUCCCGGGUCUUGUACACACCGCCCGUCACAUCAUGGAAGCCGGUCGCACCCGAAGUAUCUGAAGCCAACCGCAAGGAGGCAGGGUCCUAAGGCGAGACUGGUAACUGGGAUG
rnacentral:rRNA from 1 species